GUUUAAUUAACUAGUAGUUAUAGAGACACUAUAGUGGCCAAAACAACUACAGUUUAAUGUAGCUCUUCCAGUGUCUAUAGCCGGUCCCCGCUGGCAUUUUAAUGUAAACGCUGCCUUUUUAGAGUAAAGGCAGUAUUUGCAUUAUUGCCUAGGAACACAUCUAGUGAGGUGCUUUCUGUGUCAGUGCUCCACAAUCACUGACAUUCAGCAGCUCCACGCUCUCCAUGGAGAUGCAUUUUAUCACAUGUGCACUUUAACCACCCAAAGCUUUGGCUGAGAUCUUCAAAUUUGAUAUCUGCGAAGGAGGCGGGAUGGGAGUGAGGCAACCAUAGCGGACCUGCGUGGCACUAGAAUAAAGCUAAAUAAAUUCACCUUUUACAUUGAAACCUAAAUACCAUUUUCUGAGCUUUAGGGACAGGAAUACUGUGGCGGAACAUGCCUCGUCACGUGUUCUUCGAGGGGGCUGCUUGCCCGCCUCCUACCUUCUGACUAUGG